rnacentral:rRNA from 1 species
UACGUAGGGCGCGAGCGUUUGUCCGGAUUUAUUGGGCGUAAAGAGCUCGUAGGCGGCUUUGUCGCGUCGACUGUGAAAAACCCCGCGGCUCAACCGUGUGGUCUGCAGUCGAUACGGGCAGGCUAGAGUUCGGUAGGGGGAGACUGGAAUUCCUGGUGUAGCGGUGAAAAUGCGCAGAUAUCAGGAGGAACACCGGUGGCGAAGGCGGGGUCUCUGGGGCCGAUACUGACGCUGAGGAGCGAAAAGCGUGGGGG